GAUGAACGCUGGCGGCGCGCCUAAUACAUGCAAGUCGAGCGAGAAGACGUAGCAAUACGUUUGUAAAGCGGCGAACGGGUGAGGAAUACAUGGGUAACCUAUCCUCGAGUGGGGAAUAACUAGCCGAAAGGUUAGCUAAUACCGCGUACGCUCCUUGGACUUCGGUUCAGGGAGGAAAGCGAUACCGUGGGUAUCGCGCUCUUGGUUGGGCUCAUGUCCUAUCAGCUUGUUGGUGAGGUAACGGCUCACCAAGGCUUCGACGGGUAGCUGGUCUGAGAGGACGAUCAGCCACACUGGCACUGCGACACGGGCCAGACUCCUACGGGAGGCAGCAGUAAGGAAUAUUGCGCAAUGGGCGAAAGCCUGACGCAGCGACGCCGCGUGGGGGAGUGAAAGUCUUCGGAUUGUAAACCCCUUUCGGGUAGGGAGAUGGAACGAGCAAUCGUUCGGACGGUACCUCCAGAAGCAGCCACGGCUAACUUCGUGCCAGCAGCCGCAGUAA
rnacentral:rRNA from 1 species